rnacentral:misc_RNA from 1 species
GUGAAUCAUCAAAUUUUUGAACGCAAAUUGCGCCUUUUUCGGAAGGCAGGUCUGUUUGUGGGCACCAUUUAACAAAUAAUGUGCAUUUCGUGUGCACACGUUGAUGAGCUUUCCAAAAUUAUGUCUUUUUAUUUUUGGUGGCGCAUAAUUAAACAGCGCGAUGCUUUUUUUCAGUUCUUGUGUAGUAAAAUUUUUUCUUUCUUGUGUUGUGAAAAGCGUGCUCGAGCAAAUGUGUGUGGC